GUCCCCACCUUUCUGCCACAAUACCCUAACUACAGUUUAUGUGACUACAGUUAAUCCUUAGUGGAUUAAACUGGAUGUUUUCUGCAGUGUUUUUCCUGUUUCACACUUCAGGGAUGUUGAGAAUGUCAGCGCUGUUUCAUCUGGAUUGAAUCAGUAGUUUGUGUCGAAUGGCUCGUGCUGGAUCUCACAGCUGUGUUUAAUCUGUGAUUGCUCUUUCUUCCGGUGCAGAGGAGCGCGUGUGAUUUCGUUCCGCUUUUGGAGUUUGGACACUUCUCAUGCACAAUAGAAAUAAAUGGCAGCACUUGUGUGGCUCCCGUGCGACCGAUAACAAACUUCAGUCUCACCGGCAGAAAAAAAAAAAGAAAAAAAAAAACAUUUGCAAAAUAUGAGCGAAUAGUCUGGAUCCCUGCCACUUCAGAGAACCUGUCAGACUUGUUGAGCGUAGCUUUCUUAGCAAAACAAAAGGCAGGACACAGCUACUUUUAAAGCGUUUUCUAAACUAACUGAUCAUCAGCAAAAACGACUUGUCUUUAUGUUCUUAGUUUUGUUUAUACGGGUAACUUGAGUAAAAGAUAUUUAAAGUUAGGCUACAUUUGGUUUUAGGUUGCAUGAUGAAAUUAACCAAGACGAAAACAAACUCGCUCCUCACACUGAUUCUGCUGUUUCACACCAUGUCUGAGCAAGCAGGAGCUUCUCAUGAUGAUGAUGAUGACGAGGUGAGGAUCCUGAUGGUGGGAAUCCGAGGUCAGUCCAGAUUCAGUGCUGCAGAUCUUCUGUCAGGAAGGAAAGACGGUGGACAGGAGGACAGAGAGAUUGUAAAGACUCCAGUAAUUACAGACGAGGCUCGUAGAAUGAUGCUGAUCACUGGACCGAACCUCUGUGAGGAGGACACAGCGAGACAGACCUUCAUAACAGCGCUGUUUCUCUCGUCUCCU
ensembl:lncRNA